rnacentral:rRNA from 1 species
GAUGAACGCUGGCGGCGUGCUUAACACAUGCAAGUCGAACGGUGAAGGCGGAGCUUGCUCUGCUGGAUCAGUGGCGAACGGGUGAGUAACACGUGAGCAAUCUGCCCCUGACUCUGGGAUAAGCGCUGGAAACGGCGUCUAAUACUGGAUACGAGCUGCGAAGGCAUCUUCAGCAGCUGGAAAGAACUUCGGUCAGGGAUGAGCUCGCGGCCUAUCAGCUUGUUGGUGAGGUAACGGCUCACCAAGGCGUCGACGGGUAGCCGGCCUGAGAGGGUGACCGGCCACACUGGGACUGAGACACGGCCCAGACACCUACGGGAGGCAGCAGUGGGGAAUAUUGCACAAUGGGCGAAAGCCUGAUGCAGCAACGCCGCGUGAGGGACGACGGCCUUCGGGUUGUAAACCUCUUUUAGCAGGGAAGAAGCGAAAGUGACGGUACCUGCAGAAAAAGCGCCGGCUAACUACGUG